rnacentral:lncRNA from 1 species
UUAUAUUUGUCAGUUACUAACUCUUAUUUUCCCUUGAGGGAAACCAUAUCUGUUGCAUUUAUAUCCUGUGUAAAACUGAAAUUUUCUCUUGCAGAUGUAUUAAUAUGCUUGAUAUGGUGACUCAGCAGCUGGUAGGAAGUUGACGCUCUCAGAGGUUAUCAGUGGAUACUUCCACCAUCACUCAGCAGUGAUAAAGGGAAUUUAUACUCUGAGAUCUUUUGAGAGAAAGAUAUUUGCAUUGUUUGGCCUAUCAUAGAAAUUUAUCAAGAAUGCGUUGACCAAGUGGAGACUUAGUUUGUUCUUGACUUUGUUCUCCAUCACAAGAAGAACAACUAACAACUAUUCAAGAUUAAGAUGCCACUGAAAGAAUCCUAGAACAUGGUGAUGAGGCUCAAGCCCUCCUUGAACCACAGAGACCAAGACAGACUGCAUUAGAAAGGUAAGAGAAGUGUCUACACAGAGACUGCAUUGCCUCUACCCUGGA